GACAAAAGCAGAGCCGACGGACACAUCCAAACCCGCAGCGAAAGUGCCACAGCAGCCAGGGAGAGCUCCAGCGGCGCAGCCCCUGGGAGCAGCAGCAGACAGCAAGGCCGGUCCAAGGGCGGCCGGGCCGCGUGGUCCCGCCGGCAUGGCCACAGGGCAGCCUGGUGGGGAAGGAGAGAGUGUCUUCUCCAAAAUCCUGCCAGGGGGGGCAGCAGAACAAGCAGGCAAACUGACUGAAGCGGUGUCAGCUUUCGGCAAGAAGUUCACUUCAUUCUGGUGAGAGAACGGCACAAGGAGUUUGGGAAGCGAGUGGAGAUUGAGUCGUUGCAGUGGAAAAACCUAUGAAGAAGCCAAUGAAUUCAGCACGCAGCGCCAGACUCUGAGUAUAACGGUG